rnacentral:lncRNA from 1 species
AUGGAUGCUGCUGCUGCCUCCUUCUUCACUGUCUUUCAGAACAUGCUUUUUUCUUUGUUAUUCUGGAAGCCACAGUGAUACACCUCCAUACAAAAACACAUGAGUCUAUGGUUUUUUGCUUUUUUUUAAGAACUAGAUAGACACUACCAGAGAGAUGAACAAUGUUUGCAUCUAAAGUUAGUUCUACUCAGAGUAGACCCGCUGAAAUCAAUAAACCUAAGUUAGUCAUAUCCAUUAACAUCAACAGCUCUGCUCUGAGUGGAUUAGUAUUGGACACAACCCAGAAACUUGUAAUCUAAGCUUAAUAUUUAUUUACUUAGGAUAGGAAAGACUGUGUGUAGUUCAGCUGCAUGUAUUGCUGUAAAAUGCUGUAGUAAGUAAAGGUAAAGGGACCCCUGACCAUUAGGUCCAGUCACGGAUGACUCUGGGGUUGUGGGGCUCAUCUCACUUUACUGGCCGAGGGAGCCGGCGUACAGCUUCUGGGUCAUGUGGCCAGCAUGACUAAGCCGCUUCUGGCGAACCAGAGCAGCACACGGAAAUGGCGUUUACCUUCCCGCCAGAGCGGUACCUAUUUAUCUACUUGCAUUUCAUGCUUUCGAACUGCUAGGUUGGCAGGAGCUGGGACCGAGCAACAGGAGCUCACCCCGUCGCGGGGAUUCGAACUGCCGACCUUCUGAUUGGUAAGCCCUAGGCUCUGUGGUAAUUUAUCUUAAUUUCAGGAAUGCAAUUGCUUCAUACAUUCAUGGUUCCUGUGUGGUAUUACACAGGUAAUAAUAAUAAUAAUUCUAUUUCUCUAAUGUCUUCAUUCUGGGAUAAGUGAGCAGUGUGACUCUCUUGCAGGAUAAUGAACUCAAGCAUUAUGUGAAUGGAGCAGACAAAUUUGAGAAGCUGCCUGCAAUGUGUGUGGAGUGGAAUGACCAAGAUGAUCUGGAAACCAAGCCUUAAGAGAAAUGCUUGAGGCAGCUGAGUAUGCUUAGCCUGGAAAAGAACAGACUAGGAGGAGAUAUUAUAGGUAUCUGCACUUAUAUAAAGGGCUGCCAUAUGGAAGAUUAUUUUAUUAUUUCUUGAAUUUAUAUACCACCCUAUACCCAGAGGUCUCAAGGUGAUUCACAGAAUAAAAUCAAAACAUAAAACUACAAAAUACAUAAUCAAAAUAAAAACAACCCAACCCUCCCCAAACCCCACAUUUUAAAAGGGCAUAAAAUGGGGCAAGCUGAGAUUACAAUUAAACCUUAGGAAGAAUUUUCUGACAGUAAGGGCAGUUUGACUGUGAAAUGACUCCCUCGGAAGGUGGCAAACUCUCCUUCCUUGGAGGUUUUUAAGAAGAUUGGAUGGCCAUCUGUCAUGGAUGCUUUAGCUGAGAUUCCUGUAUUGCAGAGGAAUGGACUUCUAGUGGACUUCCAACUCUACAAUUCUAGUAUUCUAACAUGACAGCUAAAGUGCAGUCAAAUGUCUACUCAGAAAAAAAGCUUCAUUGUGUUCCAGAAGAGUUACCCCAAGAAAUCGUGAAGGGAACUGCAACAUAAUUCUUAACUUUGUCUCCUCAUUAGCUGUUCUUUGCUGUUCAGCUCAGGCCUCAGCAAAAUAAUGUAACAUUUUGGGGAAAAAAUACAACCCAACAAACCAGCACUGGAGGCCAAGAUGGAGAAGAUCUCCACAGCCACCAUAUAUUUCCCCUUAGUGCUCAGGUAGGUUGGAACAAACGACAACCAAACACUGCAAAACAUCAACAUGCUGAAGGUGAUGAACUUGGCUUCAUUAAAAGUGUCUGGCAGCUUCCUAGCCAGGAAUGCCACAGUGAAGCUGAUGAUGGCUAGAAGUCCCAUGUAGCCCAGGACAAGAUAAAACAUGGUGACAGAGCCUUCAUUACAUUCUGAUAUGAUCUCUUGAGUCAGUGACUGCGUGUCCAAAUCUGGAAAGGAAGGAGUGGUAGACAACCACAUGGCACAAAUACCAACUUGAAUGUGGGAGCAGGAAAACACAAUGGUGUUGGUCAAUCUUUUUCCUACCCACUUCCUCAUGCUGGACCCUGGCCUGGUGGCCAUGAAAGCAACAACCACUGUCAUGGUUUUGGCCAACACACAAGAAACAGCCACUGAGAAAAUGAUGCCAAAAGUGGGUUGUCUGAGAAGGCAGGUCACUUUCCCAGGUUGGCCAAGGAAGAGCAAAGAAGAGAGGAAGCAGCACAGAAGGGAUAUGAGGAGAGUAUAGGUGAGGUCCCUAUUGUUGGCUUUGACUAUGGGGGUAUCUCUGUGCUUAAUAAAAGUUAUUAGUGCCAAAGCUGUGAUAAGUGAAAAAGAAACAGUAACUGACGUUAAACUGAUCCCUAAAGGUUCUUCAUAAGAAAGAUAGCUGAUUGUUUUGGGGAUGCAGUGAUCUUGGUUGUUGCUUGGAUACUGAUAAUCUGGACAGUUCACACAGUUAAUCAUGUCUGGAAAAAGAAGAAGAAGAAAGGUUCAUUUCAAUAGGAAUUCACAUCUGAUGAGGAGUACAUUUUGGCUUCGGAGUUUGUUACUGCAGAUAUUUAUCACUGCUAUUUUACUGUAUUUUAUUGUAGAGAGAAAUUCCAGAAGAGAGGAAUGGUGGAAUAUAAAAAUAUUUAAGAUAUAAAUAAAAUAAACCUUAUGUGUGGAAGCAAGAUGGAAGCUGCUGCUCACAUACAUUAUGGGUAGUGCCUUCCAGAAGCCUUUGGUCUACACUUCCCAUCAGUCUGGCUAGAAUAGCCAAGGUUAUGAAUGAUUGGAGCCUAGCAUUCCUGUGCUUAUUAUAUAUCUUGCCAGUGAAUUAAGUUGUCUAUUACCCCAUGUCUCGUUUCUUCAUUAUUGCUGCAGGGGCAAAUGAUUAUUUGCUGCUUGAACGAAAAUUAAGUGAGGGGAUAAGUGCAAUACAUCACCUACCCUUCUGGUUUGAAAUCUUCCCUUCUGGACAUGGAACACAAUCAUAGCAGCAAAAUUUCUCCUUUUCCCUCUUUUUCUUCUGAUAACCAGGGCGGCAAGAGUUACUACACACAGAAAGGGGUGGCACCUUUCAGUACACAUCAUUGGAGUUUAGGGUAGAAGAAAGAAGAAAUGUUUUGUUGCUCAUAAGCUGACGUACAAAAUAAGUAAAUAAGCAAACUGUUGACAUGGAAUAAUGAACUUAAAUGGAACAUCACACAUUCAUGCAUACACCUGCCCAUCUCCUGCUAAUGCUUUCCAGAAUAUAUUGUUUUUGCCAUCUAUUGCUUGGCUGACAUAGGGGCAUAGGAAGUUGCUAAAUACUGAGUCAAACCCUUGGUUCCUCCAGCUUUGUAUUGUUCACAGUGACAGGCAACAGCUCUCCAAGAUUUGAGACAGGGACAUCUCCUGGCCCUACCUGGAAUUGCAAGCAAUUUAACCUGGGACCUGCAUGCAAAGCAGAUUCUCUGUUACCAAACUAUGGCAAGGGAUGCAAUAAGGCAGUCAUUUCCAUUCCUUUCUAUCCUAUCUCACAAUCGGAACUAUUUCCAUUCCACUGCAGUUUGGUUUCCACAAAACACCAUGUUAUUUGUCACACUGUCCACUGUUUAAUGUAAUUCACAUAAUUAUUGACGCUAGUUACGAAUUUAACAUAAGUAAACACUUUUAAUUCCACACCAUUAAUUUCAGUGCAAGGCACACACAAUCUAAAUGGAGUGGGGCAGAAGUAAUCAAUCACAUAUUGCUUCCGAGUAGAAAACAAAACAAAACAAAUAUUAUAAAAGCCUGGAUUAUUUUCCAUUUGGAUGUAGGAUAAAUUAGUCCAGAUUGGUUAUUUCCACUUCUGUUUUAAUUUUCAUCAGUAUUUUCUUACAACUCUAGCUGAGGGCCCUUCUCCAAAAUGUGGGUACCAGAGAAGUUAUUUUAAUAACUUAAUCCAGUGUCUCAUUCCAUAGGAAGAGGUGUGUCUAUUGGUGUCUCAUUUUCUUUUGUAAAAAAAAAAAAAAAAAACUGGUUCAAAAUCCCCUAUCAAAGUUUAUUGUUAUAGAGGAUAUUAUUUUUUAUUUCACUUGAACAGAAUAUUGCACAUUUCCCACUGUUAGGCACUUUAAGGUUACAGCUCUCUUUGUUUUUCUUAAUGCAAUAGGUGGUAUUGUCUUUAUUAUAGAGACAGAUCAUUCAUCGUCAACUGAUACAGAAGAGAGAAUUCUUAGGUCUUAAAUCAAUAUCCUAGCACCCAUACUUGGUUAAAUACACUGGGCCACACAAUUAAAUCCUCAUCAAGGAUUAGUUCUUCUCCUUCAGGAGCUCUGAGCUCCACACUUCCGACUUUCACUCUCUGGAAGGAGUUGUUUGGGAAAGUGGCUAUGCUCAUGAUGUCAAAUCCGCCUUCCAUUUCUCUUUUGUCAUUAAAGGACACUGUUUCUUGAGCUGAGUUGUUAAAUGUUAUGUCUUGAAGAAUCAGGUGGAGCUAGUUGAAAGAGAAAAAGAAACAAGGGGAGAGCAAAAUAAUAGGCUGGAUCCAGAGUUAGACAUGCAUCGCUGGAAAUUCAUGACAUUGAAUUCAUAAGUUCAUGAAAAUUCCCAAUGAAUUGAAUGGGUCUGGAUAGGUGUGCCUUAGCAAAAUUGUUUUAAGCAGGUGCCAUAGUUAGCAAAGUGAUGGUACCUGCCAAAUGUUAUGUUAUGUUAUGUCCUGAUAGGGUCUCACUUCUUUUACAACCACAGUUUCCCAGAGAAAAGCAAGAGAUGCCCUACAUACAGUGCAUUGAAGUAACCUAAUCUUGAAGUAACCAAUGCCUGAACAAGUGUGCUGAAGCUCUCCUGGUCUAGGCACAGUCUUAGCUGAUGCACCAGUUCCAGUUGGUAAAAGGUGCUUCUACCCACUGAGGUAUCUGGGUCUCCAGAGACAAAGCUGGAUCCAGACACUCAUCGCCUCUGACUGCAUACCUGCUCAUUCGGGGGGAUUGUAACCCCAUCAAGGGCAGGCAAUCAACCAAUUUCCCAUAGAGGGUAGCCUAGGGCUGCCAGAUGCCAGCACAGACAUCACUUAAAAGGGCAGUGCACUUGGAGAAGGGAAGAGAACCAUUCCCAGCCACGCCUACAUUGGGUAAGUGCUGGGGCGUGGGCAGGGCAGUGUGGGGCUCUCCUCUUCUCUUAUGCUCGCUCUGUGCAUCAUGUUUUUCAUAGGAAAUCAUUCUAGAACUUCAUUUUUCUUUGAGCUUUUGCCCACCGCAAAAAAAACUCAACAAGCGUAACAAAAUAACCACCUUAACAACUUUUCUGUCUGGAUUUUCAAUUUUGGAAAUAUGGCAACUGGUAGCCACUCACCCACAUUGCAUCCUUCUUAGGUUAUUUUCCCAUCCCACCACAGGGCUCUCAUGACCUCUCCUUAUCCAUGUCAUGGAGAAUUAGAGUUCAGUAUCAUCAGCAUACUGAUAGCAUCUUGCCUCCAAUCUCAAUACCAUUGAGGAUAAAACAGUGCCCCAUGCCCCCCCCAGCUUAAAUGCCUGGGCCCCACAAAACACUCAUGCAAUUCUACUCUCUAGAUAGGACCAGUAACCAAAUGCCCCCAGUUCCCAUUCCAUGUAGCUGGCCCUGGUCAAUGGUAUCAAAAGCUGUAGAAAGGUCAAGCAGCAGGAGCAAAGUCACACUCCCCUUGUCCCGUCUUCCAUAAAGGUCACCCAACAGGAUAACUCAGUUUGGCAAACACCUUCUCUUGUCAUGCAGCAAGACCUAGCCUGAAAAUGAAGCUAUUUUUUUCAGUGAGGGAUGCUCAAAAGUUACGGCUUCCCUUCUCCAAGCCCCAAGAAAAGGAGAAAAUGUGAACCCACAAAUUUCCAUCAAUGUGUUGGUGUGUCUAACAUAAUUUUACCAUUAGGAAAAAGGCAUACUGUAUUAGCUUUUUCAUGGCAAAUAAAAAUACAGUUAUAUAGUGUAGACAUUACCUGCCAAGGGUGGAGUACAACUCUUUCAGCCUCCACAGCUGCUCUGUGCUUGGGUGUAGAUGAGUCCAUGGCAUGCAGUGCAUGUGCAGCAGCAGAGACAGCAUUAUAGAUGCUGUAGCUAUGACCAGUCAUGCGCAUUUCAAAAAGAGGCGCAGGAAGGCUCUCCAGCCUUGCCUCUCCAGUACAUGGUUCAUCGACCUCUUUUGGACAAUGAACUGAGCAGUCAAAGACUUGCUCCCAUAUAUCUUUGAUAAAACCAUCUCCUUCUGCCCAGCAAGGCUCUAUAGUCUGAAGGAAUGUCUUGAAUGCGGGUGGUUCAUGUGAAUGAAUUGUGAAUGAAAUAGCCCCUUGGAACACUUGCAGAUCUGAGCCUCUUUGAAGGCUAGUUAAUGCAAAAUCUAUCUGGGCUGUCAGAAUCCACACCUUUUCGUAAGAUGUGUCAUUAUUACGUUCAGGAUUUCCCAGAAGAAUAAAAUAGCUCAGCCACAUAAUGGACAGUGUUUCUCCAUAGAGAACAAAUGUGUUGACUUUGUUAAAUGUGAAAGGUUUAUAAAUACUCUGGACCUGGUUGUUAAUUUCAAACAUAUCAUUUAACCGGGCUUGUUGUGUAAUCCUUUCUGUGAAAGCUGAACAGAUUCCAUGCUGGGAAAGCAAUGGCUCCAGGGUCUGCAAGAAACGCUCUCCACUCUCAUCGUUGACAGUGAAGAACCCAACCCAUGUCCAUCUGAAAUGCUGAAGUAAGCGGACAAUCCCAAUGUACUGGCAGGCUUCGUUGGG